rnacentral:rRNA from 1 species
GGGCUAAUCACGGUUGGACAUCGUGAGGUUAGUGCAAUGGCAUAAGCCCGCUUGACUGCGAGAAUGACAAUUCGAGCAGGUGCGAAAGCAGGUCAUAGUGAUCCGGUGGUUCUGAAUGGAAGGGCCAUCGCUCAACGGAUAAAAGGUACUCCGGGGAUAACAGGCUGAUACCGCCCAAGAGUUCAUAUCGACGGCGGUGUUUGGCACCUCGAUGUCGGCUCAUCACAUCCUGGGGCUGAAGU